AUUAGAGUGGCAUAGUGGAAAUGUAAUGGGCCCAUAACCCAUAGGCCUAGGUUUUAACCCUCACUUUUUUA
rnacentral:tRNA from 1 species